rnacentral:misc_RNA from 1 species
AAGUCGUAACAAGGUAUCCGUAGGUGAACCUGCGGAUGGAUCAUUAUUGAAAAACCGGUUUAGUAAGUGAAAGCUUAUCUUUACCACUAGAGUUGGUCUCUUUUAGAGGCUAGCUCGAAACACCAACCUUGCAAACCUGAAUUAUAUUUUGCAGUGACUAAGAAAGAAAUUUAUUUUUUUCUUAGCAACUGUUAAAAAAAAACAUUUUUUUGUCUAGCGACUUUCUUUUUGAAAACCUACUGUAAUGGUAGAAAUAAAAAUUGAUAACAACUUUUGACAACGGAUCUCUAGGUUCUC